UACGUAGGGAGCAAGCGUUGUCCGGAAUCAUUGGGCGUAAAGCGCGCGUAGGCGGCCUCAUAAGUCCGUUGUGAAAGUCAAAGGCUCAACCUUUGAAAGCCGAUGGAUACUGUGAGGCUAGAGUCCGGAAGAGGCGAGUGGAAUUCCUGGUGUAGCGGUGGAAUGCGCAGAUAUCAGGAGGAACACCAAUAGCGAAGGCAGCUCGCUGGGACGGUAUUGACGCUAAGGCGCGAAAGCGUGGGGAGCAAACAGG
rnacentral:rRNA from 1 species